GCCUUUGUGGCUCAGGUGGUACAGCAUGAGACUUUUAACCUCAGGAUCGUGGGUUCGAGUCCCACCUUGGGCA